UUCCAUCUCCUCUUCAA
rnacentral:sRNA from 1 species